UAUAGCGCCGUUGCCGUGGCAACGCGGCCCUCUGCGCGGCCCGGAGGCUGGCACGCGCACGCCCCGGUGCCGCUGUCAUCCUCCCUCCUGCGCGCGUGUGCGUGUCUAUCCCUCCAGGGGAGGUGAUGAUUUGGAGCUUAGAGCAUGCGCGGAUAUACCGAUGGUGUUGCAUCUAAGAAGUCACAGCCUAAUGUAAGGUCACAAAAUUUACCCCGCCGUGUCUUCACAAGAGGAAGGCGGAGGGAGACUGGCCCUGGGGAGAAGAGGAGGAGGUGAUGCGCCUACGGAGCCAGAGACUGGAGUGGCGUGGCCACAAGCCAAGGACUGCUGGUGGCGCCCAGGAUCAUGGGAGGCUCGUGCUUUGGUGCUGGGGGAGCAGCUGGGACCAGGCUGCGGGAAGAAAUGGAACGAAGGGAGCCGAGCACGGUCAGACCCCAGAGCCCCAGCUGCCCAGCUUCAGUCAGCGGGGGACAACAGGUGUGGGUCUGGGCGCAGCUACCCCGGAGAAUGAAAAGCUGACAUGCAGGCCUCAUUCUCUAGAAAAACGAAGAUCAUCCCGCUAAGUCCAUACAGCUGCGGCCAGUGGCCAUUUGUGAUAUGUAAGUCUCUGCAAAGCAACACAAGACCUUCGGUGGAGACCCGAGACAGUGACAGCCAAGGGGCUUUCUCAGCAAGCCGAGCGCGUGUGCUGUUUCCAUUACAGGUGCUUUUGCAGUGGCCAUUCAGUGUGAAGUUUAAUCCACAAGCGGUUGCACACGAAGGGUCUACUUCUAGCUUAUGAAAACACGUCUUGUAGGGCACGGCACUGAAAACCCUGCUCACCCGAGGCUGGGAGCUGGUCGGGUUCACACUCUGCGAUCUGGCGUGCGGCGCUUGUUAGUCACAUGAGUGACUUCAGAACACAGCUUUUGAAACAAAUGCUGCCGUUUCUGAGAACACAGAAACACGACGCAUUGCACCUGUGCUGACGGAGGACUCAGGAACCCUAGAGAACGUUAGUCUUUGAGGAUCUUCAAGCAGGUGGCCCUCUUACUUAUGUAACCCUGCUCCCGCUCCGAGCUGCAGCAGGCGGGCGUGGGGAGGAGGCUGUGGGCACAGAGGGGCUGGGGUCUCUCCCCAGGCUUUAGCCCCUGACUUUACUGUUUUUCAGUUCUGCAGACAAGGACACAAAGGUGAAAUCGUAAGUCACGUCCUGAGGAGGAGGAGGCCUUUGGAACUCCAACCUGACUUCGGAUGUCCAGACUGAACAGGGAGAGGGGGUUAGUGCUGGUGUAGACGCGGAAAUGAAUCAGCGAUGUGGCUGGGGGGCCCGUGACCGGGCAAUCUUGGUAGUCCCAGAUUUCCAAAUGGGCAAUUCCAAAGGCAAUGCCGGCCGGCUAGCUUCUUGGAGUCAGAUAUGAGCGAGGGGAAGGGUGAUAGUAUGGAGAAGAAAACAUGGUGCAGGGUAUGUUUGCUCUUAAGCUUAGAGGUAUUUCUUGGAAUCUGAUCCUGGCCAUCGUCUAGAAUUUUCCUUCAAAUGCCAGCAAUAUUCCGAUAAUGGUGACUGACUCCUGUUCCACGUCACUGCCCGUGAUUUGAUUUGGUGAUUGGAAAACGACAAAAGUCUCAUGAACCACGCCCUUUCACAGCGGGCAGCCCCAGGGGGCGCCCUUCCGUCAGCAGGAAGCAGCUUCAGCAGCAUUCUAUUUUUGGCACUGGAAGGCCACCUUUGACCCAGGAGUGUGCGGUUGGCUGAAAGAUGCUUCUCUCUUCUGUCUUCCUCGAUUUGCGCGGGCAAGGGAGACAUGCGUGAGAGCGCGGCUUCAGCAGACUUGCUUCCUUGGGGCUCUGGGAUGACCCAUAUCGGCCACAUCUUACGGACGUAAGUGAACAUCUUGUUUCCUUGUCUUGGGCUUGUGUGGCUGUGUCACAGUCACUUCCAUUUAGGUAAUUCUAAACCUUCCAAUGGAGGUUCUGGUGUCCCCCAGGACCUCUUCUACAUGAGGGGUUGGCAGGCUCAGGCCGUGGCUCUCAGCCUGUGUCUGUAAGUACAGUGUUAUGGGAACGCAGGCUUGAGCAGUGCCCUACAUGCCUCUGUCCACGGCUGCUUUUGUGCCCCCAUGGGAAAACUCAGAGCCUGGGUCGGACACGGGAUGGUCUGCGAAAGGUGAGAUGUUUACUAUCUGACUCUGUUUACAAAAUGUUUCUGUUAUUUAUUGGAAAGGCAGAGGUGAGAGAGAGAGAGAGAGAAAGAGAGAGAGAUCUUCCAUCCACUGGCUCACUCCCCAAAUAGCCACAACAACUGGGGCCAAAAUGAGGGGCCUAGAGCUCCAACCUAGGUCUCCCAGGUGGGUGCAGGGCUCAAGCACCUGGGCCAUCCUCUGCUGCUUUUCCAGGUGCAUUAGCAGGGAGCUGGAUGGGAAGUGGAGCAACCGGGACUCAAUCAAGCACUCCUAUGGGGAUGCCAAUGCCACAGGCAGCAGCCUAACCCACUGUGCUACAAUGCUGGCCCCACGGCCUGACUGUUGGGGAGACAUUUUGGUGAGCUCAGGUCUUGGGGGUGAACUGAGGGGGUGAAGAGAAGCUCUAUGGAGAGAGCAGUGUCAGUGAGCAGAGGAACACGCCAGCAGCAGCCGUGUUCAGUGUUUAGGCUCUAACUGCUUUCCAGAACUAGCCUCAUGCUUCUCCGUGGCUCAGUCGUGGCAUGAACGGCACGGCCUGCGGGUUAGCCACCCAGCAGGGCAGGAGUUCCCGAGAAAGCAGGAAGUGAAUCCACGAGAAGGAGAUGCAAUCCUGGAAUACCGCACAGCUCGGAAGGAAAUGCUAUUUACAAGACCACUGUAAUAGAAAUACCAAUUACCGGCUCAGAAUCCGUCACCAAAGCAUAAAGCAAUGGAAGUGUUCAUGUUAACAACGUGAAAGUGAAGUUUCUGGUGGCAGAAGUUCAGAGCGGGAGACAAGCAGCAGUCGGGGGAGGCUGCGCACGCCUUCUGAUGACACAGGGCUGAGUCAGGAGACGCUGCCUGAGGCUCACGGAGCACGGAAAAGAGGCUCUGGGGUGUUUUCAGAUUUCACUGGUCCUAAGACCCAGUUUCUCACCCUUUCAUAUCUUUGAACUGGGAUGCUCCUGACUCAUAAUGUCACACAAGUGUAAUUGAUGUUUUUUUUUCCCCUUAGUAGGAAAUAACAUAAUGGUGCAUCUUAGAUUCUAUGAUACAGUACAGUACUUCAAGGCAGGAGUAACCAGCAGUAAUCCAAAGAAACUGAAAAAGCAAAUAAAAAUUGAGAUGGAAUGACCAAACUCAGCUGAAAAAGCCACCAUCUUUCAAAGAGGCCAGAAGAAAAUGUGAUAAAAAAAUUAAUGUGAUUAAAAAAUCAUGGCACUCUUUUUUUAAAAAUUAAAAAAAAAUUUUUUUUUUGACAGGCAGAGUGGACAGUGAGAGAGAGAGAGACAGAGAGAAAGGCCUUCCU